UCUUUUGUUGAAGCAAACCAUCUACAGAAAAACUAUUUUCCCGGUUGUGUUUAUCAUUCUCCUUUUGUCGCCGCCGUAACGUUAAGCAAAAAGGUCAAUAACUUUAGUAAUGGCGAACUCCCAACUUCAUUUCUCUGAUUUAAAAGAAGAACUGUGUAGACAGAUGGUCCUGACCAGGCUCCUUCGAUUUUGUGAGGUCUGGAAUGUCAAGAACAGUGAGCUGAUGGACGUCGAUAUGCUGUUGAUUGAUGUGAAGCUAUGUCGUUCAAUUUAUCCCCUUAUUAUUUUAGAGAACGAUCUUUCGCAGUUGUUGGUUUUUAAUUAAACCUAUCCAUUUUCAGUCAAAGAAGCUAAUCCAAGCCUCGAUCAAAUUUCACCGUCUAAACAUCUUCAGACCCAUGCUUGGAGAAGGAGUCUUCUAUGAGCUUAUAUCAUAUUUCAUGUAACAAGAAGCAACACCAACAUCAGGUUUGGGGACGCUUCUGUAGCUAUACGUAUCUUCGAACAUACCCAACAGAGAGCUUCCAUUUCUAGAACAACUAAUGCCCUUUGCCAACACAAACACGGACGCUUCUGCUUUUUUUAAAAGCAGAUGAAAGUACUUUUCACCUUAUUUCUCGUUCGUAGAUAAUUUCGGGGAGGUGAUGGGUAUGCACACCAUAUUCAAUGAAGAGCCAAACAACUCAACUCAUAAUGGAAACGCUCGAAAUAGAAAGGUUCACUUGCUGUUGGUUGCAGAGACUCGAUCGAAUUGUCAGGUGAGCUUUUUUCCCAUAUUCUUCCUAGGCUGCUUAGAGGAGACAAGUACUCAGGAAGGGAGAGAAUUGUUCCCAGGCGUAAACCUUUAAAGAAGCACAAUAUCGUGGUUGAGGAAAAUAGAAUAUAACCUUGGCUGAGGUUAAUAUAUUCGUUUUAAAUAAACAUAUAAUAAACAUUUCUGCCGUAAGUAAAUGGAACCACUAAUGUGUGCCUUCCUUACUCCUCGGAAAUCCAUUCGGGUUCCGUUCAAGUCUAUUCGGAUUUCGGAGUUGAAGAUUUCAGUCCUAUUCGGAUUAAGUUUCGGUUCGAAUUUUUGCGGAUUAGGUUAAGGUUCGGAUAACCCAUUAAAAUUAUUUUUAAAUUUUGAAAAUUUGUUAUAUACUUUAGUUUUCUCAAAAACUAAAAACAAACAAUAUAUUACAUAUAAAUUUGAAUAUGUCAAAAUACCUAAGCUUAACAUAUAAAUUGGUUUGAUUUCAAUAUUUGGAUAUAUGAUCAUAGAUAUUUUAAAUAUUUUUGGUGUUUUGAGUAUACCUUAGCUAGUUUUGUCUAUUUUAGUCUAUCUAUUUAUAUAAACUUGAGUUCUUUCUCUCCUGAGAGAGACACCUCAGCAUCCAGGUCAGAAACUCAUAGUCUGUAAACUCGACACCUGUCAUAGAUGUGAAUAAUCUUUCUGUCGUUCUUCAUUCGCGUCGUUUAGUCAUCUCUUUUAGUUUUACCGAAACGCUUGGUGUUCAGAUUCAUCCCGUCGUUUAGUCAUCACUUUGCAAGGCUGUGUUUCGACUUUCUGUCUCUCUUCUUCAUCUUCCUACUGCCUCUGAUCCUCAUCUCUAUCGCUUCUGUUUUCCAUCAACAUGUCCCUCUCCGAUUCAGAGUAGGCAUGGGACACCCAUGACAGGGUUGCUACACGAGAUGCUUGGAUCUAUCGAAACAAGAGAUUCAGAAGCUUGGAAGGUGUUUUCACAAUAUCUACGGACAGAGGAAAAUUUUACUUUCUCAAACGAAAGCACUUGCAAAUCAUUCAUAGAGUUUACUCAUACAACAUCACCAAAGAAAAAAUAGUUCGUAAUUACUUGAACCAUAAAUAGAACCAAUAGAUAGAAGAAGCUCUUGGAUUUGAAAAGGAUGACGAGGGAACAAAGGGAGAUAGAACCAAUGAGGAGAUUCAGUUCGAUUGAAUAGUUGUGUCAUGAGUCCUGAGAAAGCCAGGACAGGCUGCUUUCUUGACCAAAUUGUUAUACACAACAAAUACUAUUACAUCAGAUGAUCAGAGAAAAAUCAACUCACAUGUGAGAACUGAUGCAGAGAGAAAUGUCUCACCAACGCAUUUAUGGAGGCUUUCCUUCUGCACAUCUUAACCUUGGCGACUGGUUACAUUCACCAGCUCCUGCUAAUAUAUCUGUAUUGGAGACAUCACUAAUGAUAUAUUUUCAAGAAUACAAUGGUUGGAGUCUUGGAGUGUUGAACAUGUCAUUCCAAGGAGAAAUAUACCAUCAGAAGCUCUCGCACAGUGUGUUACUUACGAGAAUAGGCAUCACUCCUACAUUGCUGUGGCUGGUCCAGUCUGGCUGCAGUCGAUGCUUGCUCAAGAAAGCAGAAAUGCUUGAUGUAAGAGCGCAGUAGUUUUAAUCAAUGUCUUUUUAUACAGACGGGUCCACCCCUUUAGUUCUCAUGUUUUGUUUUUUGACUGAUUCAGUGACUCUGUAGGAAACUCUCUUUUGUUUUUUUUGGAAUUAUUGAAAGUGUUAAAAAAGCAAAUGUUACUUGAAAA